GUGGGUAUGGGUCAGUGGUAGAGCAUGUGCUUAGUAUGCAUGAGUUCUUGGGUUCAAUCCCCAGUACCUCUG
rnacentral:tRNA from 1 species